UAGAACACAAUAAAAAUUUUAUUUGAAUGUAGUGAGAGUCACCAACUUACCAAUUAAUCAGUACCAAUUUUAUCAAGACCUCUGUUUGUAGAUCUAGAUCUAACUUCUUCCUUGUGAUAAGUGAGAUGUAGAGACGGAACUGAUUUUUCCUUCCUAAAUGCAGAUGGUUCACAUUGAGUAAAUGAGAGGUGAGAGAUGGAGAGAGACUAAAGAUGAUUGUAAAAAAGUAAUCUCUUUUCGUUACUUUUCUUUUUUUCUUUUGAUUAUUUUAUUUUUUAAAUGAAAAAAGUAAUAGACAAAAGCUGGUGAGUGCAGUUUAAGCAACAGACAUUGACGUGCCAAUUUUUUUGUCGUCCCUUUGUCGUCGCAGAGUUCAAAUAGCAGAACUCUAUUUAUUAUACCAUAUUAUCCAAUAUUUGGCGUGCGUGGCGUGGCCACUGGCCCUGAUGCACUUUGGAUGCUCCGAUAGUCGAGUUAUCAUUCGGUAGUUUUACUGCCUAUUUUCUUUUAUGUUUAAUAAUAUUAUAAUGAAUAGACUAUUUUAACUUAAAUUUUUUAUUUCAUUUCUUAAAACGAAUUUUGAGUAAUUUUUAUUGAUUUAAUAGUGGAUGAAUAAUUAUUAUUAAAUAUUAUUUUAAUUUUCCAGAUUUACUAGUAGAUUAUUUGCAAUCUAUAAUCAAAAUUUUAAGUUAAAAUAACCUAAUUAUGAAAGAAUAGUUAUUGUGAUUUUUUAAUACACACAAAUUAAUGAAAGCAAUAUUUGAUUUUACAUAACUUUUAAUUGAAAAAUAAAUAAUCGAGUGUCCAAGUGGGUGUGAGCAUAAAUCACCACCCACGGAAAACUUUACCAAAUAUUGAAUUGCUUAAAAUUUAUAGCCCAAAUUUUGUUCAAAAUUUUAAGGAAAAAAUUAAGUCAAAAUAAUAGCCCUCACCUUUCUUGAUUUAGUCCGAUCCCAUAAAAGUCAGCCAAAAACACAUAUCCAUCCCCUAACUUUUACAAACAAAACAUCACACGCCCAUAUAUUAGUUUUCUUCAUAAAAUGUACCUUUAAUUUUUGAAUGAAAUGUGGCAGAAUUUUAUUUUUUUAAUUAAUGGAUAAGUUUUUAAUAUAAUUGAGCAAAAUUAAUCGAUUUUGAUUGUAUUUUUAUCUCUUUACUUUGGUAAUAUGGUCGCGCAUUGUAGAGUUCAUUCCGUUCCCCCAUCAAAUGAAUAUUUCCUCAUCAUUAUUGUUUAGCACGCCACACACCACCAAUACCAUAAAUUUAUAAAGAUAACUCAUUCAAACGAUUGUUUAAUAGGUAAAGAUAACUAAUUCAAAUGAUUAUUUAAUAAGUAUUUUAUUAAAACAUUAAAAAACUGAUAUAAUCAUCCAUUAAAAUUUUAACCUUUCAAACUGUCAAUUUCUUUCAUUUACAAUCCCAGAAAUGAUUGCUUAAAAAGGCAAUCGAACACUACAAAAAACCAAGUACUCAGUUUCAUAUUGAUUCAAGCAUUCUGACUUCCGCCGGUUAAAUACCAAAAGAAAUCUCUCUGAUCUUCCCGUGGACAAAAACCCAGAAAGAAAAUGAAAAGAAAAGGGCCCAGGAAAAGAGGAAAACAAGAAUGUCCAACAGCAAUCUAAGGGCCUGUUUGGUAUUGUUUUUGAAUCUGUAUUUUCUGAGAAUAAAAACGAAAAUAAAAAUGGUAUUUUGCAGUUACUGUAUUUCGAAUUUAAAUAUGCGUCUGGUAUCAUUUUCUGUAUCCUAUAUUUUAAAACUGAAAACAGUAAUAUGCGUUUGGUAGACACAGUUAAAAAUGAUAAAAACAGAGAAUAUGCGUUUGGUAAUGCUUUUUUCAAAAACAGUUUUUACUAAUCAUUUACAUUAUAUUUAUAGUCAUAAAAUAAUUAUUUAGCUAAUACACACAAAUACAACAAAAUAAUUUAACCAAAUUUAAUAUAAAAAAUUACAUGAUAAUAAAGUUUAAGAAUUAACAUUAAUUAAAAAGAAGUUUGACAUUGUCAUUGUUUUUACACUAUAUAAUUAAGAUCUAUAUUACAACACAUGAUUUAAACAAAAUAAUUAUAAAAAAACUACAUGAUACACAUUAUACAUUACGUAUGUAAUCAUGCCACAUAAAAGCUGCAAUUCCAUCUCUUGUAGCAUUCAUCUCUGCGACACUUGCUGGAGAUAAAUCAAAAAUAAUUUCGACUAAGCAUUUAAGUCAUGUUUAUUGUUACAAAAUAAUUGUUUAACUAAUACAUACACAAAUAUACCAUAAUAAUUUAAACAAAAUUAUUAUAAAAAAUUACAUGAUGA
rnacentral:lncRNA from 1 species